CAGCAGCCGCGGUAAUACGUAGGGUGCGAGCGUUCAUCGGAUUUACUGGGCGUAAAGCGUGCGCAGGCGGCCCGUUAAGACAGGUGUGAAAUCCCUGGGCUCAACCUAGGAAUUGCGCUUGUGACUGGCGGGCUCGAGUACGGUAGAGGGGGGUGGAAUUCCUGGUGUAGCAGUGAAAUGCGUAGAGAUCAGGAGGAACACCGAUGGCGAAGGCAGCCCCCUGGGCCUGUACUGACGCUCAUGCACGAAAGCGUGGGGAGCAAACAGGAUUAGAUACCCUGGUAGUCCACGCCCUAAACGAUGGGUACUAGCCGUUUGGUGCGCGAUAGCGCUGAGUGGCGAAGCUAACGCGUGAAGUACCCCGCCUGGGGAGUACGGCCGCAAGGUUGAAACUUAAAGGAAUUGGCGGG
rnacentral:rRNA from 1 species